rnacentral:rRNA from 1 species
GAAUGAAAACGUGCUGCUUCAUUGGAUGUGGUGGCGCAUUCAUGACGGUGUGUCGCAUUUUAAAUUUCUGGGAGGAUUGACAGAUUGAGGGCCCUUGCUUGAUUCGGUCGAUGGUGGUGCUUGGCCGUUCUUAGUUGGUGGAGCGAUUUGUCUGGUUAAUUCCGAUAGCGAACGAAACUCUAGCUCAUUAAAGGGAUACUGAACCAAGGAAUUUAGUGUGCGUAAUAAGUGGCGCACGUUUUUUCCACGAGCCAGCAGCCGCCGGUGUGCGCGCGCACACGCAACAAAAAUGACGUCAAAGACCUCCAUUCGCGGUUAAGAUGACAAUGAAAUGUAUGGGCCUCGGGCCAAAGGAGAAUGAAGACAAGUUUUUCAUCUACACAGCGGUGUCUGGUGUAAAAGGUAAGCCAUUAAUUGGUCUAACAAGCACUAGCUUUCACUUGUAGAGAUAAAAAGCCUGUCUUUAUUCUCCUUUGGCCCGAAGCUUAUGCAAUUCACUGUCCUGUUAAAUGCGAAUGGAGGUCUUUGACGUCAUUUUCGUUCCGUGUGCUCGCGCACACCGGUGGCUGCUGGCUCGUGGAAAGAACGUGCGCCAGUUAUUAUGGGCACUAAAUUCUUUGGUUCAGUGUCCCUUUAAAUAGGUGCGUGGUUCUCUGCACCUUGCACCCUUCUUAAGCGGGUUUCACAUGCAGCGAUUUUGGCCCUAGAGCGGCGCGAUUUCUGCCGUCACGGCGCUGUGGCCAGCCGCAGCGGCUGAGCGGCACGGUUCCACCUGUUUGGAAAUUUUUCGCCACGGCAGAGCGCCAGCUUAUGUGCUGGCCACUCACAGCGCGGCGGGAAAUCACGUGACAGGAGGGGAAGCAUUGCGGGAAAGCUGGCGCAUAGGACGGCGGCGUUUUCACGUUCUUGAAGCAGACGACAAGCAGAGAAAUACGCAAACGACUGUUUUUUUUUUUCUUUUUUCUGGCGGGUCGAGUUUCUUUGCUUCAGCAGUCCCGUCGAAACUGUUCAGGAGAUUAUGGAUGAGGGGGAUUGCUGUCCCCUUCCACGGAAUUUGUUUUCUCAAUGAAUCACGGGGCUCUUUUUUGCUUUCCUCGCCUGAGUACCAACUGUAGCAAGCGCAAGAGACGCUAAUCCGAAGCGGCUUGUGCAAGCGCUUGUGAGAAAAAACAAAUAAAGAAGAAGAAGAACUGAGCGGCAUUUACGUGUCUUUUGCAACACAGAUCGUCGCACCAAGUAAGGCACAUACCCCCCUUUCGGAAAUACCAACUACUCUAACGCCGUCGAGCAGGUUCAGGUCAGCCAUAUAAUGUGGAGUCUUUACAUCCGAGGAAGGCGCUGCCCGUGACGCUGCCGAGGAUGAUCGGAGGUUUCAAGCUCCGCAACAACAAAGCUUGAAAAAAAAAAAAAAAAAAAACACAAACAAUUAAGACUAAGGUUUAUUUAGUAUUUUAAACGCUUUUUUGUUUUUGCUUUUUUGUUUUAUUAAGGUGAAAUUAAAAGGGAAACUGAAAACUAAGACAUUAAAAUACUUGUUGGAAGCCGCUGUAACCGACUGUGUACAACUGCUUGCUGCAAGCAACAUUGGCCAUCGCAGUAGCAGAAAACUCUGAUGUGAAAUGAAACCUCGCGAUCCGUGUCGCCGCACCGUUAGUGGCAGCGAUUUCGGCCGCGGAAUCGCUGCAUGUGAAAUCCGCUUUAGAGGGACAGGCGGCUCCUAGCCGCACGGAACAGAGGAAUAACAGGUCUGUGAUGCCCUUAGAUGUCCAGGGCCGCACGCGCGCUACACUGAAGGAAGCGGCGUGUUUAUAUUCCUGUCUGUUAAGACAGUAAGCUUUAAAAAAAAGUGACUUGAGCAAAUGGAGAGCUAAUUGACGUCCAUCGGAUUACCCCCGAGCAAGUAUUC